rnacentral:rRNA from 1 species
AGGACGAACGCUGGCGGCGUGCUUAACACAUGCAAGUCGAGCGGUGAUCCUCCUUCGGGAGGUGAGCAGCGGCGAACGGGUGAGUAACACGUGGGCAACCUGCCCCUCACACUGGGAUAACACCGGGAAACCGGUGCUAAUACCGGACUACCCCCACCGGAUCGCAUGGUCUGGUGAGGAAAUGAAUUUUGCUUUGGGAGGGACUCGCGGCCUAUCAGCUUGUUGGUGGUGUAACGGACCACCAAGGCUUCGACGGGUAGCUGGUCUGAGAGGACGAUCAGCCACACUGGGACUGAGACACGGCCCAGACUCCUACGGAGGCAGCAGUGGGGAAUCUUGCGCAAUGGGCGAAAGCCUGACGCAGCAACGCCGCGUGAGGGACGAAGGCCUUCUGGGUUGUAAACCUCUUUCAGCAGGGACGAUGAUGACGGUACCUGCAGAAGAAGCCCCGGCAACUACGUGCCAGCAGCCGCGGUAA